AUUGAACGCUGGCGGCAGGCCUAACACAUGCAAGUCGGACGGUAGCACAGAGAGCUUGCUCUUGGGUGACGAGUGGCGGACGGGUGAGUAAUGUCUGGGGAUCUGCCCGAUAGAGGGGGAUAACCACUGGAAACGGUGGCUAAUACCGCAUAACGUCGCAAGACCAAAGAGGGGGACCUUCGGGCCUCUCACUAUCGGAUGAACCCAGAUGGGAUUAGCUAGUAGGCGGGGUAAUGGCCCACCUAGGCGACGAUCCCUAGCUGGUCUGAGAGGAUGACCAGCCACACUGGAACUGAGACACGGUCCAGACUCCUACGGGAGGCAGCAGUGGGGAAUAUUGCACAAUGGGCGCAAGCCUGAUGCAGCCAUGCCGCGUGUAUGAAGAAGGCCUUCGGGUUGUAAAGUACUUUCAGCGGGGAGGAAGGCGAUGCGGUUAAUAACCGCGUCG
rnacentral:rRNA from 1 species